GACGAACCGUGCGAACGUUAUUCGGAAUCACUGGGCUUAAAGGGUGCGUAGGUGGCGAGGCAAGUCUGGUGUGAAAUCCCGGGGCUCAACCCCGGAACUGCACUGGAUACUGCUUUGCUAGAGUACUGGAGAGGAGAUUGGAAUUUACGGUGUAGCAGUGAAAUGCGUAGAUAUCGUAAGGAAGACCAGUGGCGAAGGCGAAUCUCUGGACAGUUACUGACACUGAGGCACGAAGGCCAGGGGAGCAAACGGG
rnacentral:rRNA from 1 species